rnacentral:rRNA from 1 species
UAGGGAAUCUUCCACAAUGGGCGAAAGCCUGAUGGAGCAACGCCGCGUGUGUGAAGAAGGGUUUCGGCUCGUAAAGCUCUGUUGUUAAAGAAGAACACGUAUGAGAGUAACUGUUCAUACGUUGACGGUAUUUAACCAGAAAGUCACGGCUAACUACGUGCCAC